GUUUUAUAUUUUCAGCUGAAAUUAUUCCCGCUCACCCGUUAUUUGGGGAUUAAAACGUGUUCCAGCACUAGAGGCAGCUGCCAGAGGGAUUCUGUCAGGGUGACAGGCUGGCAGCCGAGGGGUGCCUCAGCGAGGGGCUCGGAGCGCCCUGCCUUGCCUCACGAAGAGCAGCACGGCUUGUAAGGCACCAUCGCUCGCUGUUUAAGCACUCCGUGAAUUACAGACACAUGCUGCGUAAACGCCGUGGACUCAGUAUUACAAACAGACACUUCAGAAACAAACUCACGCUUGUCCCGUUCUAUUUUGUUUCCUUCGAGAGUGUUUUCCUGUAUUACUCUGCAUGGACUUAAUCUUGAAGAGGGGCAGAAAUUCCACUUCGUGCAAAGUAAGGAGCUUCUUUUGUAUUAAAGACUUUUCUAUAGGUCUGGAGUUACUCAGGGACAGCUCCAUGUUUCGUGUUCAGUGAUGCUCCUCUGCUGUAAAAGUGCCUUGCUCUCCUGUUUGGUUUGGCCCACUUUCAAAGCGUACUAAGCUGAACGAGCACGGCAUCCAACUUUCAGAAGGGCGUCCUCAACUUGGAAAGAAGAGCUCCCCGUGUGGACAAAGACACAGUCCUCUAGCACCCCAGAGCUACCCACAUCUACCCAAUAUAUUGACUUCAGUCUGCAAAGCCCUUCAUACUUCAAGUACCUCAUCACUUCAGAUUAUCUUGACAUCUUAAGCCCAGAUUUCCCAGACGUUUGGUCUGUAUGACAGAAGAUAACAUUUGCUUAUAAGAAUACUGCUAACAUUGCAACAGACAAUAGGUUAUAAUGGCACAGAACGUCCAGGAUACAGCACAAGACCGAGGAAGCCCCUCAGCGCUAAACAGAACCAGAUGAUGGACGGAGCGGUGCGGCUGUUUUCUUCCUGGUCACUGCACGGCAGCGCAGCUUUCCUUGCCAACGAGGCACGUGUUGUGUGAUUCAGGGAAAUGGUAGUGAUGUACACAUGGCAACCAACUGCCCAGGAGAGUCAGUAUGUAGAGGACUGAGAGCAGCUGAAAAUAGCUGAAAACAAGAAAAGAACAGAGGAGUUUGCUUUCGUUGGAUGUGCGGGGACUUGUCUGAGCGUUGUUCUCACCUUCCCCCAGCACCGGGCUUCGCAGUCUCGCUGUGGCUCUGAUGACUUCACUCUGCCGCAGCUCAGCGCGACAGCCGGCGCCUCGGUGCACUGGCAGGUGAUGUAGCUGUGUGUAGAAUGAUAUGGCAAAAAAAAAAUGGCAAAGAGAAGGACUUGAAUCUGCUAAGUUAGAAACAGCAGAGGAUAGGCCGUGUUACUAGCAACUCGUGUUUUUCAGCAGUUAAUUGCGUUCUAAAAGGAUUCCUGUCUGAAUCGGACAAGCUAAACUGGCGUGUUUUGGAGAUAACGACUGCGCCUGCACCUUGGGAGGAAUUUUCAGUUCUCUGCUUUUGCUUUGAGAAGUUUUCAAUAUAAAUCUCAAAUGUAUAAAUCGUCUCAAGUCUUCUAGCAUGCAAAUUUCUAGAACAUAUUAAAAAUUAAUCACCUUAAGCAAGUGCUUAAUUUAAGCAUGACAUGUGAUGCGCUGAGCAGCCAUGACUAAGCCAACAUAUAGUUUGUUCUGCGGGACCAAAAUUUGUUCCAGUGUGAUUCAUCAAUGAGUAAGAAUGAUGCUAUCUGGAGUUUUAAUCUAAGUGCAGAUUUGAAUAAUGACCUGGAUUUUUGGAGGAGCAGCUAGCUAAGCAA